rnacentral:rRNA from 1 species
UAUCUCUGUAGAGUCUGCAUAUCAAUAAGCGGAGGAAAAGAAACUAACUAGGAUUCCCUCAGUAACGGCGAGUGAAGCGGGAAGAGCUCAAAUUUGAAAUCUUCAAGGGUUCUACCUUUACGAAUUGUAGUUUAAAGAAGUGUUUUCUGUUGAGGUUUUGGUAAAAGUUCUUUGGAAUAGGACAUCAUAGAGGGUGAGAAUCCCGUAUUUGACCAUUACUUUCCAGCGUUGUGAUACACUUUCAAAGAGUCGGAUUGUUUGGGAAUGCAGUCCAAAAUGGGUGGUAAAUUUCAUCUAAAGCUAAAUAUUGGCGAGAGACCGAUAGCGAACAAGUACCGUGAGGGAAAGAUGAAAAGAACUUUGAAAAGAGAGUUAAACAGUACGUGAAAUUGUCAAAAGGGAAGCGUUUGACACCAGUGUUGUUUUCUCGAAAAUCAAUUAAAAAAGGCAGGAUUUUGUGUUGUAUUGACUUUAUCAGCUUUCUGCACUCUUUUCUUGUCUUUUUUAAUGCACUUUUCGUUUAACAAGUCAACAUCAAUUUCUUUUGUUGUAAAAGGGUCAUUGGAAGGUGGCUUUCUUUUCGGAGAAAGUGUUUAUAGCCUUUGGCCUCUGCAAUCGGAGAGAUUGAGGUCUGCAGCGUAGAUCCUUCGGGGUUAGAUACAGUUAGAUGCUAAGUUAUAGCCUUUCAUAGACAACUUGUUGACUAUGAUCAGUCAUGUAGCUUACUCGCUUAUGCUAUUUUACCUACGCUUAGGAUGUUGACGAUCAGCUGAGCGCG